GAUGAGCCCGCGUUGGAUUAGCUAGUUGGUGGGGUAAAGGCCUACCAAGGCGACGAUCCAUAGCUGGUCUGAGAGGAUGAUCAGCCACAUUGGGACUGAGACACGGCCCAAACUCCUACGGGAGGCAGCAGUGGGGAAUAUUGGACAAUGGGCGCAAGCCUGAUCCAGCCAUGCCGCGUGAGUGAUGAAGGCCUUAGGGUUGUAAAGCUCUUUCACCGGAGAAGAUAAUGACGGUAUCCGGAGAAGAAGCCCCGGCUAACUUCGUGCCAGCAGCCGCGGUAAUACGAAGGGGGCUAGCGUUGUUCGGAAUUACUGGGCGUAAAGCGCACGUAGGCGGAUAUUUAAGUCAGGGGUGAAAUCCCAGAGCUCAACUCUGGAACUGCCUUUGAUACUGGGUAUCUUGAGUAUGGAAGAGGUAAGUGGAAUUGCGAGUGUAGAGGUGAAAUUCGUAGAUAUUCGCAGGAACACCAGUGGCGAAGGCGGCUUACUGGUCCAUUACUGACGCUGAGGAGCGAAAGCGUGGGGAGCAAACAGGAUUAGAUACCCUGGUAGUCCACGCC
rnacentral:rRNA from 1 species